CUAAACAUUCUAACAUAUUGUUAGAAUGUUUAGAAAAUUUUUUAUGCAGAUGUGAGACCAUCCUGAGCUGUUCCUAUUAUUUGUAAGAAAGCAGUGAUAUUUUCGUAUGCUUCUCUAUGGAAAUGGAUUUAUUUAGAAUUUUCUUCUUUUUUGGUUUGUGUUUGUGAAUAUUAUCUCUGUCUGGGCAUUGAAGAAUUAGGCAGAGGAGCGUCACCCUGUGGCCACCAGAAGCACAGGCUUAGGAGGAGUACUUCCAGGCUACCGCCAAUGACCCUUCAAAGCUCAAAGGCUCUUCAGUCAGCUUGU
rnacentral:lncRNA from 10 species